CUGAGAAAGAAACGAUAGGCCCAUGCUUCUGAAGUGCUCUUUGGCUUAGGACAAGCCCGAUUACCCAGGCACCGAUGAGCCGAACCAGGAGGAGGCCCCGAAACCCUCACACUUGUUGACCUUCACAGUCUGACCUGUUGCGGAUUACGCCCCCGCCCAAACUUGAUGAAGCUCUGCACUUGGGUCACUAAUAUGAUUCACUACCCUAAAUUUAGAAAAGGCUGUGAUUCUAACAGCAAGUGACAAAAACCAGAGAAUUUUGAGUUCUUGUUGGCUGCUCCGGGUUACAUUCCCUUCUAGGUGAAGUCAGAGCUGCCAGCGCAUUCAUGAAAAUAACCAGCGUGCGCCGAGAGGAAUUGGAAGGGGCUGCAGAUAAGAAGUGGCAGAGAACUCAAACUCUCCUUAAACGUUUGGCUUCAGCGUCAAAAUAUUUGCUUUGUUUUAAAUAUCUUCACGAGCAAGACCUGCGAGGGAGCUUUGUGACUUUUUGCGGGCUUGCGUGAAAUAAAUGGUUGUGUGGUCA